AUUCCAUCAAACAGAAUUAGCCUUUUCUUAGAAAGGAAAGCUAACCUUUUGAUUUUUCCAAGGCCACGUUCUCCUAAAACAAGCAUACUGAUAUUUAGCUUUUGAACUACAUUGCAUAUGGCUGUUUUAGGAUCCCCUUCCUCUGUGAUUAUCUCUGCAUUCACCUGUUAAAAAUAUAUAAAAUAAUAAAAAAAAACCGCACUCGGUAAAAGUUGACACUUGGUUCCAGAAACUGGCAUAACUUAGAGGAGUAUCACACGCAAAUUCAUAGAUCCAAGGUAUGUAACGAAAAUGAAAAUAAUUGUAGAAAACCGAAACCUUCCAAUUGGUAUUUUGAAUUACUUCGAUUUGCCCCCUUCUAUUUCAGAUACAAGUGCAAUUGGGAGGUGCCAUUGCAGUGUGUCCAAAUCACAAAUUCAAGCAGGAUAAAUUUUUACUUGAGUGGGGGUGUCAGAGGCUAUCUAAAACUUGAUCCUCAUCUAACAGGAUAAAAACACUCGUUAAAACUUUAGUUUCAGUGGUUCCAUGCCACUCAACACAAGAAGUCAUUUCUUAUCACUGAUCUGAGUGCCUAUACUUAACAACAUUGCAAGUAAGAUGUGAGUCGCUAACUUGGCAUAACAGUGUGUCAGCAAAUAGUAAAGAAAUAUGAGCAUACCCCUCGACUAGCACAAAUUUCCUUAGCUUUCUCCAGGAAAGCCAAAGCGAGCUUCUUGUUGUUCUCUCUGACAGAGUUGACAAAAUCCGGAGCUGUUACAGCUGAAACAGAGCAGUACAUGCGAGCAGAGCCGAGGGAAGCAGCAAAAGGGUAGUUUUUGGGAGGGGGCUGGGCCAUAAAGAUAAAAAGGGGUGAUUUUGCGAGAGAUUCUUUAAGAUUGUCAAGUACCCAGAUGAGAGCAUAGUGACUAUACUCGCUUUCAUCGAUGGCCAGCAUCACUUUCCUCUCAGGUUCUCCAUUUGCCAUAGCUACCUCUGCCAUUUUCAGGGUUUAGACCCAAAAGCUUAGUUUGAAGAAUGAUGCCUUCGUUUACAGCAGAAUACGAUAUUUUCAGCGUGGAGGUCAGAACAAAGCUUUAUGAAAUGUAGUUAGGGAAACAGUGGGCGGAAAGAUUAGGUCAUAACCGCCAGUCAAUUUAGAAUUUGGCCUCCAUGCCGUUGGUAUCUGAACCGUGGGUACAAGGAAUCGAUUCAUA
rnacentral:misc_RNA from 1 species